CGAGAUAUCACGUGGCUUACACGGAAGUGUUUUCUUCUCUUGGUAGGGUUUAUAUCCCAAAAUGUCCUAGUGAAUAUGAUCCCAGGCUCAAAAUGGAUCAUCCAUUUAUUCAUGAAGCACACGCGUUCGAUGUUCAAUUGGUCAGUGAAAGCUUUUUACAACCAAGAACACAGUUUACCGGAAGCAAAUCUAGAACAUCAGGAAAAAUUGCACCAGAAAAUCACCCCCGAUAACUGAUCAGUCCAGAACGCAACGCCUCUAACCACACAUAGCACGAGCCCUGCUACGCGCAGGUGCUUAGACGGAGCGCUUGUUGGCCGGCUGCCAGUCGCGGGCGCUCUUGGGGCGCUGCACCAGGAAGCCCAUGAUCUGCACCUGCUUCACGUUGUCGAAGGCCACCAGGCGCACGUAGGCGUCCGGGAAGGCCUUGGUGCAGGCAACAAUCUCGCGCAGCACCUGCAUCGGGUCGCGGCAGCCGAACAUGGGCAGCUUCCACAUCGUCCAGUAGCGGUUGUCGUAGUACAGCUGCGGGGGAGGGGGAGAUGGCAGAGGGAAAAGAAUGACAGGAUUAUGUCAGUUGAACUAGGAAGGAAGACAACAAGGGCAGAGCGACCCAAAACCACUGCUGAGCACAAAUGUCUCGUAACCCUCAACUUACGCAGGAGACUGGGCCGAAGCGGACGGUCGACUCGUUCGAGACGUAGGCCUUGUCAGCCUCAGCGAACUCAAGGCAAGGAAUCCAGCCUACAGUUGGUAAUUUUGGAAAGCACGUCUGUAAUUAGGUGAUGGCGAAUCCACAUAGCGCACAAUUGAUGAGCAUAAGCGAGACGCACCGUUGGCGACGAUGUAGUCAACCUGGGCAGCAAUCUGCUCGUCUGUCAGAGGCGGAAGGUAGGAGAAGGUCUCGAACAUCCUGAAAUUGUAAGCAUUGAUAUCAUCAUCCAGGAGGACAGAAGAAUUUUCCUUGCGGAAGGGUCGAGGCCAACAUGUUGAACCACGGCGCUGCUCACUUGUUGUUCACCGGGGUCCAGACCAUCAUCUUGUUAGCCUGGGCUGGAGCAGCAACCGGGGCAGCCUUAACAGCCGGCUUCAGACCGGCAACUGGGCGCACGCUGCUGCGGGCGGGGCGCGCAACAACGGCGGCCACAGACGACUUAGCAACAAUAGCGGCCAUCUCUUCUCUGCUUGAACAGAAAGGUCUCAGAUCUUCAAAGAGUUGCGAACUGAAAUUGCUUCCUGUUACUUUGUCAUGAAUCAGCGACGCCUUCUUGUAUGGUGCGGAUAACUGUACGAUGAUAAAAUGUACGGCUACCUUCAAGCUUAGCCACAGCCUUCUCAGGAACCAAGAGUAUUUGCCUAUAAGGAUAAGGGUUCAUGGACGUGUUGACUUUGAAUGUUAACUCGCUGCUCUGACGCGCAGAUUUGAUAUGCUUGCAAGCCGGCAUCCUUUCCUUAUCAAACCCUAGCUAUGUGGAUAUGUGUAAAUCAAUGCCGACUACACAACUGCAUUGCUUAACUUAAUGUAAGGACACAAAUUGAUGUCCCCAGCCCGGGUAGUAGGUUUCGUCGCAACUGUAUGUCAGUUAUGGCAUUCCUGUAGGCAGCGAGGCUUUAAGGGUCAAGUAUUUGAGGUAAUAUUGUUUAAAAGUAAAUGUCUUGGGAAUCAUCUCGUGCCAUCGAGUGAGUCUACCGCACAGGGAGGGAUACCCAUAUAGUGUUGCACUUGCUUCGCAAUGCAUUCAUUCCCAAGAGAAAGAAGUCUUACGGCAUGCGCCACAAAUUUACACCUUCAGAAACAUGCAAUAACACGUUGUGCUUAUUUGUCUCGAGCAGCACAGCAUGGAGCCCAGAAACCUAAGCGCAUGGUUUCUUGAAACCCCGCAUGCUACAUCAUGUUAAGCUAUUCUCGCAUGUUCGGAACACCUUGUAUAGCUAUUCAACCAGUAUGCUUAGUCCUUAGCUGGUGAUGUCAUGCACGGGAAAAGUCCCUCUGGAGAAAGGGUUUGUCACCCGGGCCAUGCAUUGCGCCCACUCCGACACGCCCUCUGAUCUCUUUCCCUCCGGCGAUCGGUGAAAAACGGGUUUAUAAAACAUAUAACCAUUAUAACGGUACGGUACGGGAGCGCAGGGAACCCCAGGUCAGCACCACCGCUGCACAUGUUGGAAGCAACCGGGAGUGCAAGUGGCGAAGUAUAAGCACUGGAUGGGGCUGCCCUUUUCGGGAGCCGCAGCCGUUAUGUGGCCAACACAUGCUAAGGUUUUCACUCCUCGUUUAGCACAUCGUAAGCUAAUGCAGUUUCGUUUAUGUUGCUGGGCUUUGGAGGCAAACAGAGCACGAAGGGGCAAGUACCAUGUCCCCAGGGGGCAGCGGUUUUGCCACUGUUGUGGUACUAAUAGCCGAAUUGAGGAUGAAAAACACGUGUUAUUGGAAUGCCCAGCCUAUAAGGAUAUUCGUGCUGAAGAGGGAUUCGAUCAUCACCAGAGCAUGUUGGAGGCCAUGCAAUGGGAACCCGCACGUCUGGCGAAGAUGUUGGAACGUACGUGGGCUCACCGAAACUCAAUUACCCCCUUUGGACGCUAGUCUGGGCUGAUGUGCGGUGUUUUCCUUUCCUCCGUGGCUUUUAGGCGUUGUAGUAUUGCCCUUGGGCCUUCGGCUCGUAUGGGUAGUCCUACAGGUACGGGGUCACGCACCCCCAACCAUGUAACACACACACAUGUUUAGUGCCUCUCUGUGCCUCCAUUUCCUGUUUCUUUUGCCCUGCCUAGGGCCGGCCUUGAAUGUCUCUGCGGGCUGAAGUCCCGGCAAAUCCAUAAGCCGCAGAUAUUGAGCAAGCAAGUCCGGGCUACAGCGAGCAGCUGUACCAUUUCGCUGAAAAGGGUGCAAGGCCCCCCAGGUCCUCCAAGCCACACGUCCGUAGGCCGUGUUGCAUUCAAGGAGAUGGCUCGACAUGGCUCCGUCGUACCUGCCCAAUGGUGCAGGAGUGACAUUUGAACGUGUAGAUGGGUACGCGCUGAAUGUCUUCUUUGUCAUUGGUAUCCAAGGGGUCCUUUCCAGGGGAUUUGCAGCUGGAACCCUACCUGUCUUGGGGUUGGGGCGCCGGUCGCUCCUGUUAUCAGCAGGGCCUACACUCUGUGGUGAGAUGGCAGCCGAGGCGACUGAAGGCGAGUUCCAUGGUCAGACCUGAGCACCAUCAUUGGCUAUCUAUCCAUCAUUGGCUAUCCAUCAUUGGCUAUCUAUCUAUCAUUGGCUAUCCAUCUGGCUAUCUAUCUAUCUGGCCCAGAUGAGCUAUAGGGAGUUAGCCCCGAUAACAGUGUUCGGACUAUCGUGUCUAUUCGGACUACCGUGUCAGCCAAGGCAGAGGAAGCCAGGAAGUCUUGCAAGGAAAUGGAUGGACAUAGGAUGACACCUGUCAUCCGUGACUACCGGUUGCGCAUUGAGUAGAUGGUAGCGAUGUCAUGUGUCUUUUCUCUCCGCAUCUCUUUUGCGUGCGAUUUCUGUCGUUAUCCUCGUGUAAAGGCUUCGCUGUUUAUGAUGGACAAAAUCUAACCUUGAUUCGCCAUUACUAACACACUAAUUCGCGAAAACAUUUCUUGAUCUGCGAGCAAAAGCUGACUUGCCUUCGCUGCCUGCCCACCUACCUUGCUGUAGUUUUAUGGGGCGUAUUUGCGCGUCCGUGCCUUUGGGUCACAUGUGCUCUCCCUUCAAACUGCUUGCAACUUGCGGAAUGAUUCAAUCAGAUGAAACGUGGCAGAUACUGGUAAGCUUAAAGUGCAUAGGGUUGUCCAGGAGCAGGCCUGCGAACCCCCUGACGUCCCCGUGUCACAUGAUCUGCACCUGGGGGAGAUUAGCACCGCACGAUGCGCUUAGUCUGUUCAAAAACAAGCUGGACGCCGAACUACAUCACCCAUCACAGGCACAACUGCUCAGCAGCACUCCUUGAUGCAACAGCCUGGAAAAAUUGCACCUCGAACCCACUGCCGACAUGCCGACCAUCCACGCACAUCCACACUCCGAGGCGAUUAGCAACACGCGCAGCUGCUUAGACGGAGCGCUUGUUGGCCGGCUGCCAGUCGCGGGCGCUCUUGGGGCGCUGCACCAGGAAGCCCAUGAUCUGCACCUGCUUCACGUUGUCGAAGGCCACCAGGCGCACGUAGGCGUCCGGGAAGGCCUUGGUGCAGGCAACGAUCUCGCGCAGCACCUGCAUCGGGUCGCGGCAGCCGAACAUGGGCAGCUUCCACAUCGUCCAGUAGCGGUUGUCGUAGUACAGCUGCGGGGGAGGGAGGCAGAAGCAUGAGGAAGUCCAGCUUAGCAUUAAUACUGGAGGGCGGCCCAACCUCCUGUGCCUACAGAAGUGCAUGACAUUACAGGUGAACCACAGAAACGAAUGACUACGUUGCAAUGGCAUGUCUUACUGUUUCUAAACCCCAACUUACGCAAGACACCGGACCGAAGCGGACGGUCGACUCGUUCGACACGUAGGCCUUGUCAGCCUCAGCGAACUCCAAGCAAGGAAUCCAGCCUAAAAGAAGGGAGAUGCCAGCCAGAUAUCCGUCAAGUACUGUACCUUAAUGUGCAGUUCAUAUCCUCCGUACAUGCGCGUGUGUUGCGCACGUGCGGCAACUUAUAUGUGAUGGCAAUAACCCACAACGACGGCGUUGUGGUAAAGCAGCUGGGUCCCGAUCCUACCGUUGGCAACGAUGUAGUCGACCUGAGCAGCAAUCUGCUCAUCGCUCAGGGGCGGCAGAUAGGAGAAGGUCUCGAACAUCCUGCAUAGUUACAAAUAAUUGAAGACGGAAGAGUCUGCAUGCUUUUCUCUCGUUGCAGAGGCAGGAAUUCAUCAUGCAAGAACAAGGCGUAUCAAGCAUCAUGUCCAACGACUCACUUGUUGUUCACCGGGGUCCAGACCAUCAUCUUGUUGGCCUGAGUCGGGGUUGCCACAGGCGUAGCCCUGACAGAUGGCUUCAGAACGGCGACCGGGCGUACGCCGCUGCGUGCGGGACGCGCCACUGCCGUGGCCACCGACGACUUAGCAAUGACUGCGGCCAUUUCUCCUGUCUAUUUGAGAAGUAAGCAACCUUGUCAGACGGAUAAGGAUGGCUCUUCUGCCCAUUAGGUUGCUUCGGUUCUCUUUGUACUGGGAUGAUUGCUGUACUUUUGAUAGAAUGUACGGCGAGCCAACCCGAGCCACGGGUCUCAGGAGGGCCCUGAACAUACGUCAUUAAAUGGCGUAUUGAGGGAUGAAAUGAAUGGUGUCGUUUGUGGAAGACAUUAUUUUAUGGGGCCAAUAAUUGCGGACACAAUGGUUUGUCAGUUUAGCUACCUUAAUGUAUUAGAUAUCAGGUAGAGGUUGAGGCUCCAUGCCUUCUAUGCCACUGCGGCAAGCUGCCCAACGCUUGGGAACAACGUCCGGGGCAUAUAGUUAUGCUCUUUAGGCAAUGGAUUUCCAAUGCGAUAUUGGGCAUGCGGUUGCGGCCGCUACGAUUGAAGAUUAGAUGUGGGAACAUAGCCUGGGAAGGAGCGAGUUCUUUGGAAUGGCUUAACCCCUGACAGGAUACUGAGCCCUCCAUGUAACACCCAUGCUUAGAUGCUCGCUUAAACAUGGCAUCCAUGGGCAUACCAAUGAAUUUUGCAACUGCAACUGCGAAUGUUUGCUGGAUUGUUGCGGUAUAGUUGGCCUAUCAGUUGCAGCCUGCCAUACCCCAACUUCCAACCCUUGUUGAUCGCCGACUCAGACAGCAAGCUACCUUGUUCCCUGGAUAGGCUGCUACGGAUCACACUGUGCUCCGGCAGUUCUUUCGUUGGCUUAAAUAAUAUGAGUUCCACAGUUUUAAGGCUUGUCAUGUCACUAUUGCGAGCGUUGGAAAGUCAUCCCCUUAGCCUUCUUGUGUGUACUUUCGGCUUGCGCCAUGUCUUGGAAUCGCAGAAGGUGGGCACUCAUUGUGGGCAGCAGUGUCGGCUGCUCCUCCGGCUAACGGCGCUGUGCAUGCAAUACCUUCUUAACGGCUCCUUGUUUUCUUCCUUGGCAGCUUUCGAGCUAAUCGUUACAUUCAUUAGGUUGUGCGGCUAUAGCCGCAAAGUAAAAGUAUCGUCAAUAAUUUUCUUCUCUGGAUUGUCAAAAACCCGGAUAACACGCGUCAGGACCAUCACUUCAGGCAACCGUAGCGUUAAAUGAGUUAUUCAUGGCGCUUGAAGUUUGUGACAGCUCGGUUGCACCACCCAUCACAAGCGCAGCUGCUCAGCGAGCACCUUCGACGCAACAGCCAGGAAAAAUUGCGCCAGUUGCCUGCCCACGAUCAACUUAAGCCAACUCUGUACACACAUUCAUGCCCAGAACAACACGCGCAGGUGCUUAGACGGAGCGCUUGUUGGCCGGCUGCCAGUCGCGGGCGCUCUUGGGGCGCUGCACCAGGAAGCCCAUGAUCUGCACCUGCUUCACGUUGUCGAAGGCCACCAGGCGCACGUAGGCGUCCGGGAAGGCCUUGGUGCAGGCAACAAUCUCGCGCAGCACCUGCAUCGGGUCGCGGCAGCCGAACAUGGGCAGCUUCCACAUCGUCCAGUAGCGGUUGUCGUAGUACAGCUGCGGGGGAGGGGGAGAUGGCAGAGGGAAAAGAACGACAGGAUUGUCAGUUUGGUCAGCAAGUAAGACAUUUCAGUCAAAAACAGAGCGACCCAAAAACAUUGCUGGGCACAAACGUCUCGUAACCCUUAACUUACGCAGGAGACUGGGCCGAAGCGAACGGUCGACUCGUUCGACACGUAGGCCUUGUCGGCCUCAGCGAACUCAAGGCAAGGAAUCCAGCCUGGGAAAUGGGGAAAUGUUAUAGUAAAAAUCUUUCGGAGACGAUGACGUUGUACGAGAACAAUUUACGCUUGCAUAGCAUCCAACCCCAUCCUGAGAUAGCAUUGGAACGAGAGAAAAAGCGGGUCAAGAUCAUACCAUUAGCAACGAUGUAGUCGACCUGAGCAGCGAUCUGCUCGUCGGUCAGAGGGGGCAGGUAGGAAAAGGUCUCGAACAUCCUGCAAUGCAAAUCCAAUCACUCAAAAUUAUAAAGGUUAGGUAGAUUAUUGAACAACUCAAAGGAUUCACAAAAUAUCAAAUCACAGCCAUAAGCAACAAUGUACAGCGACUCACUUGUUGUUCACCGGCGUCCAGACCAUCAUCUUGUUGGCCUGGGCCGGAGAAGCCACAGGAGCUGCCUUAAUAGCCGGCUUGAGGACGGCGACCGGGCGCACGCUGCUGCGAGCUGGGCGCACCACAGCGGUGGCCACAGAUGACUUAGCAACAAUAGCGGCCAUUUUCCUCCUUAGUGAGAAGUAUGCGAUGACUGAGCUGGUGAGAAUGAGACUACUUCUGUCAACUUCAGUGCCGUUGCUGCCUUUUGUACCAAGGGGGCUACACCUGUACCACGAUAAACUGUACGACAAAAGGGAACGGUAGCCAGGAGUUCCAAAGAGGGUUAAAUGAAUGUUAUAUAAGCUAGUAAGUAUUAAAUUUCUGUGCAAAGGAUAGAUGCCCAAGUCUUGGAUGAGGCGAACUCGGCCGCAUGUACGAUAUGGCUGACACAUGUGUCAGCUGAAUUCUGAGCGUUUGAAAGGUUCUAACGCCAGAAUUUUACACAAGGAAUGUUAUGCGAUGCAAAAUUCGAAAGGAUGGCUUGGGCUCCGGGGUGAAAUAUUAAACCUGAGGGCUUAGGUAGCCGUUUCCCAGGUUUGUUCCAUCUUGCAGUCUCAUGGUGCACCGCGCUGUCAAAAGGUAUUAAGGGUAGUUCCGCCCGCAUCGAAAAUUUCGAAAUCGAGAUAUCAACAUUGUGUUUCCAUCUUGCCUUGUAAGCCCCCUGCCGUGGGGCCUCGAAGACGCAGGUCCCGAAAGGAUAUUAUGCCUUCAGAGGUUUGGGGGACGUUUAAAAUGAUUCUGGGUCGCUGGUUAAUAGUACCGGCCCCUCCGCAUGGCAGACGCCUUGACGAACGGCAUGAGAGGACUUCCAACAUAUUACGCGUCUGUGAUAUGCCGUGCCAAAAUCCUUGCCGCAACGCCAAUCAAUACCCUUCCAGGCCACGCGUGGACCUUUAGUGGCCUUCGACAGGGGGUUAUGACCUAGAACUGCAAUAAUACGUGGCUCUAGGCAACUUGGUUUGGUGGUUUGGUUUGGUGGCUUUAGCGCUGGGGUAGAGGCGAGGCCGAGGGAGCUAGUUGCGUACGAGUGCCCACCGGAGAUCGGGUGCCAGCCACGAUUUCUAACGGCUACCUUGCCUCGACAUUGGCUGCGAGCGAUCCUUAUGUGGUUCUCAAUCUCGCAGAUAAAUCUUUUUAGUUUAGCGGGACAGGGCAGGUCACAGGAUGACGAUGGGAGCUAAGUGAAUGGCUUGUCGCUCCGGCGACCACCACCCUGAGGACGGCUUCCUGCCGGUCGUUCCCGUUCGUUGAGCAGUGCGUCGCGGCCUCCCCCUGCGAACUGGACUAGGCCACAGUGAUACAUUAAGGUUGGGAUUCCUGUAGAUCCGUUUCUAGCUUGUUGCCCAGAUCCAGAAGGCGCUAAUAGGACAGCGUCAACCUGCUGUAAAAAUCGCUUAAAGCUUAAGUUGAUACCAUACAACACCAACCAGGGACACCAACGCAUAGCCAUUAACGUAGGAAAGUGAGGCAAAGCUGAAAGCAUUACAGCGGCUUCCCGGGAACGUACACUUGCCGAGCCUUGCCUACAUCGGGUCUCGCCUUGUGAGCAGCUAAGCUUAUACCACGCCAUUCGCGGUUCAUUGCCUGGGUCGCUUACUCUCCGUAGCCUGCUGGUAGGGGGAUAAGCAGAGUUAUGUGGCUUGCAAAGCUGCGCUGGACGAACUUGCUCCUGCGGGACAUUCCUGCCGCGUGGCUAGAAGCAGCACGACUGGCUAACCCCUUGACACAAGGUGUGCGACUGCAGCUGCCGCUCGAGGACAACGAUACUGAGCUUCGAAUCACUUAGUUGGUGUGGAAGCUUCCCAACAAUAGCAAGGUGGCGCUGAGGAAAUGGUGGCGUACGGAUGUGCACAUGUACGGACGCGACGGCUGAGGUGGACUGUCUGUCUGUGAAACAGGGGGGUAUAUCUUCACCAGUGGCAGCUACCCUGCGAAACCCUGCCUUCCCCGGUAUUUCGGGACAUCCUCAUCCAGUCACCCUAGUCAACUUCUCAGUGGAUCGCUCAGGUUCCGCACCCACCACCAGCAUCCAACGGAAUCAGCCGGGCCGUCAGCAGCCCAACUCCAUUCCUGGUCGGCGCGCAGGUUAACUCUAUCCCAGAUCACCACCGUCCAACAACUAGGGGCGCAAUACAUUCUACCAGCGGACGGAUUUAUGACCCUGAAAGAACUCGAUCCCGGAAUCUCCCGGGGGCAAUGGUCGCGCGUUACCAGUAGAGCCUAACCUAUGAAUGGAAUGUCUGUAUGUCGCAGAUUCCUGGGGGUUGGGAGCAGAUGUGGAGGAGGUGCAGCUCGACGCCAUGCUGUAAGGGCAUGACAAAUCAAUGGUCGUCAACACUGAGCGCCUGAACGGCUUCCAGUUGACAGUUUUCCCGUCAGAUCCUUAACACAUGAACGGUGUGACCAUUCCCACAGGGGGAACGCUGGUAGGUGGCAUAGAUGAGUUUAUCUUAGCCCCAAAUCGCGGCCGUGCCUAAUGGCCUAGAGAAUCCAAUUAUACUUGCUGGAUGGGAGACAGAUGGGAAACACUCGUUGCUAAUUGCUAUCCAAGCCGCGCUAAGGGAUCUUGGUACCUUAUUGGCUUUGGCACCUCUCUGCACCUCCUAUGCAGCUUUUGUGGGCGGGCAGCGCGGGUAAUUCUGCCGGAUCCAUCCCAACUUGAUUCAUUACAUGUAUUUACGAGCACAAAAGUCGAGUAUUAAUCAAUAGUCAAUAUUCACUAAAUUCUUCCAAUGAGCUGACCUUCAUGUAAACCGAACGGCCAGCACCGCCCUUCCUGCUAUCUGCUCCGAGAGGGCAAAACAUACAUAAGAACUGCGCUGACCAUACGAAACUGUCGAGCGACAUCCAAAAUACCAAGGUAAGCCAUCUAUGUCGCCAUCUAAUCGGGUCGAGGCAUUUAAUCUUCUCUGAACAUCAUUAAGAGAAGAUGUAUCUCCUAACAGGCAGCCCGAAGCAUAUGUCAUUAUUAGCGGAUGGAAUUUUUCCUAAUGAAUGGUUCACUACGAACAGCUGCUGAGCCAGCAUCCCUUGAUGCAACAGCAGGGAAAAAUUGCACAGGACAUGCUGGCAUAAAACCAUGCGAGCGCAUCCACACUCCCGAGGCGAUUAGCAACACGCGCAGCUGCUUAGACGGAGCGCUUGUUGGCCGGCUGCCAGUCGCGGGCGCUCUUGGGGCGCUGCACCAGGAAGCCCAUGAUCUGCACCUGCUUCACGUUGUCGAAGGCCACCAGGCGCACGUAGGCGUCCGGGAAGGCCUUGGUGCAGGCAACGAUCUCGCGCAGCACCUGCAUCGGGUCGCGGCAGCCGAACAUGGGCAGCUUCCACAUCGUCCAGUAGCGGUUGUCGUAGUACAGCUGCGGGGGAGGGAGGGACGGAAGCAGAAAAAAAGUAUGUUUAGCGACGGCGCAAGAAAAAGUGGUCAAGUCCCGAUAGGCUAUGGAAUACCUAACAGCGGAGUUGAAAUGAUGACCAUCCCUUUCGCCGUAUACCCCAACUUACGCAGGAGACUGGGCCGAAGCGGACGGUCGACUCGUUCGACACGUAGGCCUUGUCGGCCUCAGCGAACUCAAGGCAAGGAAUCCAGCCUGAUACAAAAGGGGGACAUCCGAGAGUGUACAAACUUGCAAACCAUUGCCCAUACAACCCAAGCUGAAGCCCAAACUCCGAUUGGAAGGCAACAUUGACCCUUAGGAAUGUUGCCUUACCAUUAGCAACGAUGUAGUCAACCUGAGCAGCGAUCUGCUCGUCAGUCAGAGGGGGCAGGUAGGAAAAGGUCUCGAACAUCCUGAAAGAGAAAACAAGUUGUGAACAUAAAACGUGUAAGCAAGCGGAAAGAAAAGCGUUUGGCAGUACAAAUAUAAGACAAAACAAAAGAAAUCGCAAGACAAGUACCGACGUGAUUAGGCAAAUACCGACGUGCCGUUCAUGAAAGACAUUCCUAAUCUCGCUUCAGGGAUACAGAAUCAAGGUAAUUUAGUAGAUUGUGCAGUAGAAAAGGUGCAGCUACUCACUUGUUGUUCACCGGGGUCCAGACCAUCAUCUUGUUAGCCUGGGCCGGAGCAGUGACCGGGGCAGCCUUGACAGCCGGCUUCAGAGCUGCAACAGAACGCUGAACGCUGUUGCGGGAUGGGCGCGCCACUGCGCUGGCCACAGAUGAUUUAGCAACAAUAGCGGCCAUUUUGGGAUAUGAUUUAAAUGUUUAAGAAUCACUAAUAUAUUAAUUGUAUGCUUAAUUGUGAUCACAGCUGAUUGCUUUUGUAUUGUGAUGAUCUGUACCACGAUAAAACGUACGGCAGCGUUGAAGCCUUGGCACGGACUUCCCUGGGGCUAAUGUUUUAAUCUUGGAGAGCAUAUUCUGAUAACCUUUGCAUUUCAUCAGGUCUAGGGCUUCAGUCGGAGAAAGCUCGGUCCUUAAGGUUCUCAGCCUUGGUCAUAAGGAUAAGGUUUUCGAUGCCGUUUGCUAGUGCAUAAGGUACAACUACCAUUAAGAAUCAAGUAAUUUGCUCAUUGCGGCAGAAAACGUGGUGUUGCACUAUAUAGCCUGUCAAUGGCUUACGAAGGGCGAAGUGCCGUCAGACCUUUAUGGCCAUUCUGAGUGGCCAGCCCAUACUUGCAAACAAUGAGAAUGUCCAUACUUGAUUCGGAAAGUAACAAUUUCUGGCAGUUAGUGGUCAAAGCCUCGCCCGUGGAGCUCAAUUUGAGGAUAGACAUUGUGUUGUGUUUUCAAUUUCAAGUGUUCAUGGAUUCCAUUACAAACUAUUUUGGGACAGUUAAGAGUCACCAUGAGGGCAGAUCGCUGCAACCGCUUCUUUCGUCCGAAUGGAUGAGCCUUUAAGUUCUAUACAAAGGCCGUGCAAGGGUCAAUAUCCAUACCUGUGCUGAACGAAGCGACGCCUCAGUACUGGGCACCGCAGGCGGCCAUUGCUCAGAAUGCUCUGGAUCAAGAGUUUUAGGCAUCGUCUUCUGGCCCAGCAGCGGUUGUGAUUUUCGUAUUACUGCUGCGGCAAUGGGGAGCUGUUUCACUGCAAUUGGGCUUGGUCUAGAACACGUACAAACACGGAUUUAUAGGGUCGCAUAAGACUGCAACGUCGUCCAACGACGUGGUUUUGUUGCAGCGUUUACAACACCAACGUUUGCGCGAGAGAUGUGUGUAGGAAAACAUGUGUGUGUGUGUUUUUGUGUGUGUGUUUUUGUGUGUGUGUUAGUAUAGUGGGCUGUCGUAUUUCCCUCAAGAUGUUUCACUUAAGCCCAAUCUCAAGUUCAUCUGCAGCGCUAAGUUUCCAUCUUCCCUCAUUAAUCGAGUAACGUUACAGUUUAUCCCAUCACCUCGAACCAUGGCCGCAGAAAUAGGAGGGGCGCGUACCUAAUAGUAUUAGCGCGUUAGGAAAACCCGCACUUAUCACAAUUAAGUCAUGCCAGGAUGGGUUGUUAGCAUGCGUCCUCAUAACGCGCCCCGCCUACGCCUCCUACGUGUCUAAUCGUCACCCACACAUUCAAACCACUAAUCCCCCAAGCCGUCUAUUCGGUCAGUCAUCGUCAAUAUUUCUUCACUGAGCAUGGCUACUAUACCUAGUAGAAACUUCAAGGCAUCAUCCCACGACUGGAAAACCGCCGGAUCCCACGUUUAUUGCUGGCGUACACACACACUCAUGAAUGGCUAGUUAUCGGUAAAAAUUAGAAUGCAUCAACUCUGCACGCAACCUACAAUCAACCAACUGAAAAAACAUUUGCACCAGAAACCUGCUUCCUGUACGUGUACGAUAAACCGACCAAUUCUUCCGAUAUGCCGGCCAUGCGUGCGCAUCCACACUCCCGAGGCGAUUAGCAACACGCGCAGCUGCUUAGACGGAGCGCUUGUUGGCCGGCUGCCAGUCGCGGGCGCUCUUGGGGCGCUGCACCAGGAAGCCCAUGAUCUGCACCUGCUUCACGUUGUCGAAGGCCACCAGGCGCACGUAGGCGUCCGGGAAGGCCUUGGUGCAGGCAACGAUCUCGCGCAGCACCUGCAUCGGGUCGCGGCAGCCGAACAUGGGCAGCUUCCACAUCGUCCAGUAGCGGUUGUCGUAGUACAGCUGCGGGGGAGGGAGGGACGGAAGCAGAAAAAAAGUAUGUUUAGCGACGGCGCAAAAAAAAGUGGUCAAGUCCCGAUAGGCUAUGGAAUACCUAACAGCGGAGUUGAAAUGAUGACCAUCCCUUUCGCCAUAUCCCCCAACUUACGCAGGAGACCGGGCCGAAGCGAACGGUCGACUCGUUCGACACGUAGGCCUUGUCGGCCUCAGCGAACUCCAGGCAAGGGAUCCAGCCUGGAGGGCGUUUACAGGCAGCGAACCACCUUAGCCACCGUGCCGUGAGAAAGCGAAUACCAUGCGGGUUACGAAACCCACGACCACUUUGAAAGAAACACGGAUUCUUGGUAUUGUAGCAAGGGAGAUGGAGCAGAUCCGUAUGGUACAUACUUGCCCUAAGUACGUGGGACAGAGCCUUACCAUUAGCAACAAUGUAGUCAACCUGAGCAGCGAUCUGCUCGUCAGUCAGAGGCGGCAGGUAGGAAAAGGUCUCGAACAUCCUGCAAGGUACAAAUGCCUUAGGCCCUUAUAAUUCCGCUAUAUGAUAUAAGGAUAGAAGGGCUCAGCGAAUAGUCAAUGAGGGCGAAGUAGUAACAGAGGGCAGCAGCUAGUUUUUCGCGCAGCAGCUCACUUGUUGUUCACCGGAGUCCAGACCAUCAUCUUGUUGGCCUGAGCCGGAGCAGUGACCGUGGCAGCCUUGACAGCCGGCUUCAGCACGGCGCAUGGGCGCACGCUGCUGCGAGCAGGGCGCACCACAGCGGUGGCCACAGACGACUUCAUCACCAUAGCGGCCAUCGUAGAUAAUUCUUUGGGGAAAACACAACAAAUCUAUGAUGAAUGCAGGCCCACACUGAUUAUUGAACUGCGCUGCGCUUUUUGUAUUGGGACGACCAUGAUUAUAGAUUGUACGGUUAAAGUUCGUCGUACAUUUUAUCCUGGUACAGGUAGACCUGUGGCCAGGCUUUAAUAAUGCUUGGAGGGCAUUGGUGCAUUUCCAUCUUGGAAAAUACCCUAAGUAAUCUUCUUUGUUUUUUGCUUGAUUAGGGAAUCAAGCAGUAGGUGAAACUUGGUUCCGUGUAUGACGAGGCUGACUAAUGCUUGUUGUUGGGAGGGCUUAAGUAGUAAAUCCGUGUAGUAAGUCGGGUUACAAGGUGUUGAUCAAGAUUUUGGCCUAACGCAGACACUUGCAUAUCCUUGGAGGAAGUUACGGCUUGAUGCAGGAGUUCCGCAGUUUCGGCCCAUAGACACUUUAUCGUUCGCAUAUGUAACAUAGGCGGACAAUGGUCUUUCAAGGCUAAACAGAUUUCGGUGUAGAUUGGUUGCGGUUGAUUCACUUUGACGCUCAGUCCAGGAGAUGUAAGGUUCAGGAUCAGAUUUAUUUCGAAUCUGUUCAAACUUAGCAGCAAUAAGUUUGAUCUGUAUGAAAAUCUCAAAAUCAGCGUGUCGACGAUUGUGUCGGAAAUUCGAUCGCCUUAAAUCAAAGGUCUUGGACUUUAUAUCGCAGAAGAUACUCGUCAUCACACAUUUGAUUGGACGCGUUUAGAUUUUAUUACUAGCUAACAUAUCCGGCGUAUGUUGUUGUAAUUGGUUUAUUCUUCCCUAAUUCCAAAACCCAUACUAGUUCAGAGAGAACACUCCACGUUCAGACCCACAUUCAGAUCCCAUACUGCUUCACCGAUUUCCGUUUUCAUCGUUUGGUAACGAUGAGCCCUGUUCUAUGCUUAUUGAGUUUCAUUUAUUGUAACAAUGCAUUCGAAGAAAGUAACUGGUCUAGGGAUCUCUGUUAAGCAUCGGAACACGUAUCCUACCCGGAAGCAAGGAUGUCCCACAGUCCGGAAGGCAAUCCAAAUUCGUGUGCGCUUACACAUGAAAGGGUUUUCUGCUCAGGAUUGAAUUGAACGCGAGCGCGCUCGCUGUUCAUAUGCAUCAUUAGUGGGAUGCAAAUUAUUGUGAAGCACACACGGAUCAAUGACCACGACCGAAACAAACAACUGAAAAACAAACAUAUGUACAACCACAGACAAAAACAUUCCCAAAAACGAGAGUAGUCCACUAGAGAACUGCGAACAAAAUUAAAAAAUGUGUCCAGAGCUCAUAAGCAAACUCCCAACUCAAAGAAUGUUCUACUGAUCUGGGUUCGUCCAUUCCGCCAAAAGCGUUGAACGCUUAGACGGAGCGCUUGUUAGCCGGCUGCCAGUCGCGGGCGCUCUUGGGGCGCUGCACCAGGAAGCCCAUGAUCUGCACCUGCUUCACGUUGUCGAAGGCCACCAGGCGCACGUAGGCGUCCGGGAAGGCCUUGGUGCAGGCAACGAUCUCGCGCAGCACCUGCAUCGGGUCGCGGCAGCCGAACAUGGGCAGCUUCCACAUCGUCCAGUAGCGGUUGUCGUAGUACAGCUGCGGGGGAGGGAGGAAUGGGGCAGGCGACAGGAGGGGAUAUUUAUGUGUACAUGAUUGCUACACAUGAAGACUUAUUACAUGGUCCUCUCGUAGAAUACGAUGAGUAAUACAGUUGAGUUGAUUACUUCAUAAUGGCGGAACAUCCAGCUAACAUCAACGAGGUUGAGGGUCAACUUACGCAGGAGACUGGGCCGAAGCGGACGGUCGACUCGUUCGAGACGUAGGCCUUGUCGGCCUCAGCGAACUCAAGGCAAGGAAUCCAGCCUGACAACAGGAAUAGAAGGCGAGUCAACCAAUAAUAUACCCAAAUGAGAGAAAAGGCACUUUAAAUUAUGCAAUUAAAGCUGCUUUGUUUAAUAUGGGAACACUAUUCGAGAAUGGCCUGGACAUUCCUCACCGUUCGCGACAAUGUAGUCGACCUGGGCAGCAAUCUGCUCGUCGGUCAAGGGCGGCAGGUAAGAGAAGGUCUCGAACAUCCUGGAACAUGAAAGGGACGCCAUCAGAACGCAACCUUACAUUUACUGUGCGAUGACCUCACAAACGCAAGUAUAUUCAUUUGCAAGGUGCAGCAAUAUCGCUAACUCGAGCACGAACUCACUUGUUGUUCACCGGAGUCCAGACCAUCAUCUUGUUGGCCUGAGCCGGAGCAGCGACCGUGGCAGCCUUGACAGCCGGCUUCAGCACGGCGCAUGGGCGCACGCUGCUGCGAGCGGGGCGCGCAACAGCGGCAGCCACAGACGACUUAGCAAUGAUAGCGGCCAUUUUGACUGUUUUGGUCUUUAGAACGUGAUAAGUUCGGACAAAGUAUCAUAGAAAUGCUGGCAAGCAUUAAUGACCAAGAGCGGGUACGGCGGAUAGAGGUACGGAAAAGCUCAUCCUCGUAACGCUCCGAAUCGCCGACGGUUUCGCGUACGGCAAGCAAGACACCUAACACAUUAGCGUAUCAUGUCUACUUUAACACUUGUUAUUUUUCAUUUAAUAAUUGGGUAGUCUGCAAUAAAUCAAUCGAUGUGCAUAUCAUCUGUAGUAUACAUCAAUGACCAGAUUUCGAUCGGCCAGGGAAGAAUAUAUGUAGCCCUAUGGAUUUACUAAGCAUGGCAGAGAGGACACGAAAGAUGUCACUUGCGGGCUUCAUAAGUGUGCGAGCGACUUGGUUCAUACCGUGAGCUUCCAUUUGCUGUUUGUGUCGUCAGGCCCAGUACCACAUAGACACCUGGUACGCGUAGAAAGUAACUGAUGCGAACCAAGCUAUCAAGUGUUAUAACCUUGACAGCUAUCCAAAGACAGCUCCAUCUCCACACCGCUGCAUCGACAUACGGUGGGGUUUCUUGGCCAUGGUAGGGGGCUCGCCCUAGCUUCUCGAGGGCUUUCGCUAGCGUUUCUGCAAGGGACACGGUAAUGCGGUGAGGUUGAUUUGAAGGUUACACAUUUUAAAGCUAAAGUGUCGGCACAAUUGUGGAGGGGUCCGUCAAGCCGGCGCUCCGGAUGGACCGUUGGUAAGAGUUUUUGUUGGGUGACAUCAUCGUCCUCCCGCGCCCGUUGAAGUGCGUGCCCCAGUAUACCAGGUCUCGGAAGUUAGCUACUGCCAAGGGGGGGGGACAGUGCGCAUGUUCAUGCCCAUACUAAGCCGUCAAGCUAUCACAAGCAUUACUAAAACAUCCACAGCCACAAAUCCCGCAGAUUCUUACAAUUCGCUCAUGAUCAUGGGGCUUACAGUCCCCUAAUCAUCUAUAGCCAUAUCUGAUCACUGAACGAUACAUUGUCUGCCCAGAUCUAGAACUAAAAGUUAUUAUUUUGGACAUGCCAAUAACCUCAACAAAACCUUAAAACCUUAAGGAAGAGCCCUUCAACUCUUAGUAUCUUUCCGCAGCUGUAGCGCUGGUGGCAUUAACGGUUUGCACGUCACUACAUGCGCACAUAAACAUAAAACGUGCUUUCUUCCUCAGAGGUGACUUAAGGACUUCCGCCAUGCCAUGCCAUAAGCCAGUAUCCACACCAUGUACUAGUACGUCACGACGAUGCACCUAGAGUUUACUUUCCUGUGCUAUACAGCAUACCUAUUAAUGCUUAUUUCACAAAUGGUCAUAUACCUAUGCAGCCCCGUUCGUGAUGCAUGGCUGAGGCUGCCAUAGCUACCUCUUUUUCAUGUCAGAUUACAUACUGACGGCUGACUUGCUCAGAACUUUAGCUUUACUGAUUAGGGGAAAGUAGGGGGAGGNNNNNNNNNNNNNNNNNNNNNNNNNNNNNNNNNNNNNNNNNNNNNNNNNNNNNNNNNNNNNNNNNNNNNNNNNNNNNNNNNNNNNNNNNNNNNNNNNNNNNNNNNNNNNNNNNNNNNCCUGAGUGAUGGGUCGCGCUCAAGUGCUGACGCUUCCGGAGCCACAUCGCUGCAGGGAACAAUUUUGUCCACGAUUUUGGCCGUGUAAUAUGCUUUGGAGAUACUUCCCCCUACUUUCCCCUAAUCAGUAAAGCUAAAGUUCUGAGCAAGUCAGCCGUCAGUAUGUAAUCUGACAUGAAAAAGAGGUAGCUAUGGCAGGAGGGUAGGAUUCGGGCUGGAAUUAGGGAAGAGCUCUGUCGCAGAAUUAGCCUGGAUUUUAUUCCUGACAAAAGAAUUGGUCUGCCGAGGUCUGGAAUUGUUCUGGCGGACCCGCCGGAGGUAUUCGAAUUGCGCUGUGGAGCCUCGGAAUUGGGCUGUGCUGCGCCUGAAUUGGCCUGUCCGGGUGUCGAAUUGGCCUGUCCGGGUGCCGAAUUGGCCUAACAGGGUAUUGAAUUAGCCUGACAGGGUAUCGAAUUGACCUGUUCGGGGUGUCAAAUUGGCCUGACAGGGUAUCGAAUUAGCCUGACAGGGUGUCGAAUUGGCUGUCAAGUUGGCAGGAUUGGCUCGGGCUGGCAUCCAAAAGCACAUGACUUUUAAGGAAUUUACAGAAAAACUUUGCAAGAGGACCGCUUACAAGUGCCUCAUGUGUGUAUUAGAUUCGAUCCCACGACAUGGGUGGAUGCUGUGCGUCGUCAAUUCGAAGAAGUUCUAGGCGUCUACUCCGUUGGUGAAGCAUGGGAACUGUUCCGAGGUGAGAGAUUUAGAUUGUUGAUCAGAGAGAAAAGCGCGAGUCCGUGCUAGAGACGUGGGGCGGCGAUGUCCCCGUGCCGUGCCGAGAACAACCGGAAACUUUGCGAACGGUGUUUUGAAAGACAAUGUGCCCUUCAUUGCAGAGGAUUUCCAGCUCUCCCCGCUUCGCGCCGCCAUGGCACUGAGAGGGAAUGUACCGGGCCUUACCGUCUCGGACGCGAAAUCCCUCUUGUUCAAGAUCAAAACGGCAUCGGAGGGGGCCGUGGAGGAUCAGGGACACAGGGACGCGGAGACUGGCACCGUCGAGGACGCGGCGGAACUGUGGUCCCGAUGAGUGCACCAGCCGGCAUCACCGAAGCAGAGGAUGUGCCACCCCGCGUCAAGUCGCGUGGUGCUACUGGUAAGUGGCGACGUGAGAUGUGUGGUAGGGAAGAGUGGGCAACCUAGAAAGGAGGAACCCACCUCACCCCACCCACCCAAUUGCAUAAUGUUAUACAUACCGACGUCUAUGAAACAUCAUACCAUAUGACAACAGAUAUGCCCCCCUUUUUUUACAACCCUGUAUAGGNNNNNNNNNNNNNNNNNNNNNNNNNNNNNNNNNNNNNNNNNNNNNNNNNNNNNNNNNNNNNNNNNNNNNNNNNNNNNNNNNNNNNNNNNNNNNNNNNNNNNNNNNNNNNNNNNNNNNNNNNNNNNNNNNNNNNNNNNNNNNNNNNNNNNNNNNNNNNNNNNNNNNNNNNNNNNNNNNNNNNNNNNNNNNNNNNNNNNNNNNNNNNNNNNNNNNNNNNNNNNNNNNNNNNNNNNNNNNNNNNNNNNNNNNNNNNNNNNNNNNNNNNNNNNNNNNNNNNNNNNNNNNNNNNNNNNNNNNNNNNNNNNNNNNNNNNNNNNNNNNNNNNNNNNNNNNNNNNNNNNNNNNNNNNNNNNNNNNNNNNNNNNNNNNNNNNNNNNNNNNNNNNNNNNNNNNNNNNNNNNNNNNNNNNNNNNNNNNNNNNNNNNNNNNNNNNNNNNNNNNNNNNNNNNNNNNNNNNNNNNNNNNNNNNNNNNNNNNNNNNNNNNNNNNNNNNNNNNNNNNNNNNNNNNNNNNNNNNNNNNNNNNNNNNNNNNNNNNCUUCACCCACUCCUGCACCUGGAGCGCGCACCGUUGGUCCCAACAUGGAUCCGGAGGCACAGCGCAUCGUCAGCCCCGACGUGGCGACAUGGAUAUUAGCGAUAGCGAGUCUGGUGAGGGAGUCCAUAUGGUUCGAAGCGGAGGGGGUGGGAAUGUGCGCCUGUUUCUCUCCAGUGAGAGUCCGGAGUGGUUCACCCCACUGAGUAUCAUAGAGCUGGUGCGCGAGGUGUUCACUCCUGGCAGGAUCGACCUGGACCCAUGCUCGUCCGCGGCUGCUAACACACGUGUUGGGGCGACAGUGUAUUACGAUAUGGAAUCCGAUGGUCUGUUGGAGUGCAACGCGUGGAUGGGCAAUGUGUUUGUCAACCCGCCUUUUGGGGUGCAGGGUGGUGCAAGCUAUCAGAGCCUGUUUUUCCAGAGAUGCGCAACAGAGUACACGGCUGGUCACAUUCACCAAGCAGUACUGCUACUGAAAGCCGCUGUGGGUUAUGCGUGGUUUGAUGCCAUACUACAAUGGCCUGUCUGUUUUCUGCGCCAACGUUUGGCGUUUGUGCGUGGGCAAUCCGGGAGUCAACAGCAGGAGGGAGGACCCCUGACAUGGGGAGCGGGGGUAGCCAAUCCACACGGAAGUGUCGUGGUUUACAUGGGCCCAGACGUGCAACGUUUUGUGUCAGUGUUUGGUUGUAUGGGCGGAAUACCGGGGGCGACUUCAUGGGCCAUGCCCCGCCCAACGGAGAGCUCGAUGGAUUAAGGCAUAGAUUGCAUAUGGCGAACAUAUUCUUCUCGGCAGACAUCUGCAUUUUCAUUUGUUUUCAAUGUAGCUCGUGGUACUGAGUUUAGCGGUUUAUCAGAGAUUUGUCAUUGUUUCCACCCGAACCUAUUCAUGCAAACGAGUGUUGUGGGAUAAACUGGACGGACUGUCGAUAAAGUGUGGUGGGAAAACAGUGGGACCUCGGCAGCUGACUUGACUGGGUAAUGCAGUCGUGGCCCUGAGUGCUUGCCUCCGGUAGUAGUAGUAGUGCCAGAGUACGGUAACCAGGUGUGCAAGUUUUUCCACUCCAUGUCGUGGGAUCGAAUCUAAUACANNNNNNNNNNNNNNNNNNNNNNNNNNNNNNNNNNNNNNNNNNNNNNNNNNGGUUCAUCGGUGCUAAGACUGGCAACAUCGAGAAUAUUAUCAACCACGUCAAAACACGCCAGCACAUGAUGGCGUGCAAGCAAGAGACACAGCGGCUCACCCAGCAGGGUGGCCUUGUCGCGCGGCCCAUGCCACCACCUGGAGUGCGAGACGUCAGCUGUGCCUGGCCACCUGACAUGCGCAUGCAUCUAUAUGGCAUGUCGGACGAGGCGGCAGAGGAGGAGUAUCAGCGCCUCUACAGCCAGUUUCAGCACAGGCGCACACGUCGGCGAGAGCAGCAGCCCAAUGCCGUAGACAGUGGGCGCCGCAUCUUACCGUGCACUUCACCCACUCCUGCACCUGGAGCGCGCACCGUUGGUCCCAACAUGGAUCCGGAGGCACAGCGCAUCGUCAGCCCCGACGUGGCGACAUGGAUAUUAGCGAUAGCGAGUCUGGUGAGGGAGUCCAUAUGGUUCGAAGCGGAGGGGGUGGGAAUGUGCGCCUGUUUCUCUCCAGUGAGAGUCCGGAGUGGUUCACCCCACUGAGUAUCAUAGAGCUGGUGCGCGAGGUGUUCACUCCUGGCAGGAUCGACCUGGACCCAUGCUCGUCCGCGGCUGCUAACACACGUGUUGGGGCGACAGUGUAUUACGAUAUGGAAUCCGAUGGUCUGUUGGAGUGCAACGCGUGGAUGGGCAAUGUGUUUGUCAACCCGCCUUUUGGGGUGCAGGGUGGUGCAAGCUAUCAGAGCCUGUUUUUCCAGAGAUGCGCAACAGAGUACACGGCUGGUCACAUUCACCAAGCAGUACUGCUACUGAAAGCCGCUGUGGGUUAUGCGUGGUUUGAUGCCAUACUACAAUGGCCUGUCUGUUUUCUGCGCCAACGUUUGGCGUUUGUGCGUGGGCAAUCCGGGAGUCAACAGCAGGAGGGAGGACCCCUGACAUGGGGAGCGGGGGUAGCCAAUCCACACGGAAGUGUCGUGGUUUACAUGGGCCCAGACGUGCAACGUUUUGUGUCAGUGUUUGGUUGUAUGGGCGGAAUACCGGGGGCGACUUCAUGGGCCAUGCCCCGCCCAACGGAGAGCUCGAUGGAUUAAGGCAUAGAUUGCAUAUGGCGAACAUAUUCUUCUCGGCAGACAUCUGCAUUUUCAUUUGUUUUCAAUGUAGCUCGUGGUACUGAGUUUAGCGGUUUAUCAGAGAUUUGUCAUUGUUUCCACCCGAACCUAUUCAUGCAAACGAGUGUUGUGGGAUAAACUGGACGGACUGUCGAUAAAGUGUGGUGGGAAAACAGUGGGACCUCGGCAGCUGACUUGACUGGGUAAUGCAGUCGUGGCCCUGAGUGCUUGCCUCCGGUAGUAGUAGUAGUGCCAGAGUACGGUAACCAGGUGUGCAAGUUUUUCCACUCCAUGUCGUGGGAUCGAAUCUAAUACACACAUGAGGCACUUGUAAGCGGUCCUCUUGCAAAGUUUUUCUGUAAAUUCCUUAAAAGUCAUGUGCUUUUGGAUGCCAGCCCGAGCCAAUCCUGCCAACUUGACAGCCAAUUCGACACCCUGUCAGGCUAAUUCGAUACCCUGUCAGGCCAAUUUGACACCCCGAACAGGUCAAUUCGAUACCCUGUCAGGCUAAUUCAAUACCCUGUUAGGCCAAUUCGGCACCCGGACAGGCCAAUUCGACACCCGGACAGGCCAAUUCAGGCGCAGCACAGCCCAAUUCCGAGGCUCCACAGCGCAAUUCGAAUACCUCCGGCGGGUCCGCCAGAACAAUUCCAGACCUCGGCAGACCAAUUCUUUUGUCAGGAAUAAAAUCCAGGCUAAUUCUGCGACAGAGCUCUUCCCUAAUUCCAGCCCGAAUCCUACCCUCCUGCCAUAGCUACCUCNNNNNNNNNNNNNNNNNNNNNNNNNNNNNNNNNNNNNNNNNNNNNNNNNNGCUGCUUAGACGGAGCGCUCAAGUGCUGACGCUUCCGGAGCCACAUCGCUGCAGGGAACAAUUUUGUCCACGAUUUUGGCCGUGUAAUAUGCUUUGGAGAUACUUCCCCCUACUUUCCCCUAAUCAGUAAAGCUAAAGUUCUGAGCAAGUCAGCCGUCAGUAUGUAAUCUGACAUGAAAAAGAGGUAGCUAUGGCAGCCUCAGCCAUGCAUCACGAACGGGGCUGCAUAGGUAUAUGACCAUUUGUGAAAUAAGCAUUAAUAGGUAUGCUGUAUAGCACAGGAAAGUAAACUCUAGGUGCAUCGUCGUGACGUACUAGUACAUGGUGUGGAUACUGGCUUAUGGCAUGGCAUGGCGGAAGUCCUUAAGUCACCUCUGAGGAAGAAAGCACGUUUUAUGUUUAUGUGCGCAUGUAGUGACGUGCAAACCGUUAAUGCCACCAGCGCUACAGCUGCGGAAAGAUACUAAGAGUUGAAGGGCUCUUCCUUAAGGUUUUAAGGUUUUGUUGAGGUUAUUGGCAUGUCCAAAAUAAUAACUUUUAGUUCUAGAUCUGGGCAGACAAUGUAUCGUUCAGUGAUCAGAUAUGGCUAUAGAUGAUUAGGGGACUGUAAGCCCCAUGAUCAUGAGCGAAUUGUAAGAAUCUGCGGGAUUUGUGGCUGUGGAUGUUUUAGUAAUGCUUGUGAUAGCUUGACGGCUUAGUUUGCAGCACCCUUAUGGCCGCGGAGCCACAUGACCACGGUGACGACCCCCACCCUAGUUCCACGGAGCAACAGCGACGCCACCGGACAACCCCUGUUCCUCCGACCGAUCCAAAGCUUUCACCCUUUCUCUUUCCCGGCAAAAGCCCCUAGAAGUACCGCACUAUCGCAGCAGUUGCUGCUGCAGGACCCCUGCCGCCGAUGCCAGCAGCAACAGCACCCCUGUGGCCACGAUCGGGUUGUCCAGACUGAGGAAGCGAGGGGUGGGUGUUGAGCCCGAGGGCCGAAGCAAGUUAGUGACGGGCUCGUCCGUCUCGUACGACUCUUCGCCGUACGAUGAGUCCGCUACCGUACUUCUGUUGCUGCUGCUGCUCCCGUCCUUUGCCGUGGCGGUGGCCGCUGGUAUAUCGCUGUUCAGUUGUUGUUGCUGCUGCUGCGGCUGCUGGCGGCGGCGGCGGUCUUCUCGUUUCCGAAGCCAUUCUGCGUAGAACCAGCGCUCCAGCCUGUGAGAGGGAGAGAGCGGAUACAGAUCAGGUUGAGAGGGGUAAAGCGGGUUACACGGCGAGAUAUGAAAGCACGUCAGGAGUUGGACGGACCCGGGACGCACCUAGAGCGCCUAGGGUAAGGCAAGUCGGAGUCGUGCAGGAUGGGUUGCAUUACCUGCGACCCGGGUAGUUCAGCCGAUAAGUCAUGCAACCCCCCCCAACACGUGCAUACUCACAUAUGUACUGACAUAUGGUUCACACUCAUCAUCGCCGGCUGCAUACGUACCGGAUUGACGGUCGUCAAUGAUAUCGGGGAGCUUCACAGCCGUCACCUUCGUCAUCCCCAUCCCCACCCCCAUCUCUAUUGCAACCAUCAUGCGUUUAACCAUGCCUGCUUUCUCUCCGGCUCGUGGACAAGCCUCUGUUAAUAAAGACCCGCCAUUGCAUUCUCAUGUCCCGGCCCCGGCACCGGGCCCCUACAAGUGAGGGGGGAACGGCCUAGAAAGAAAGUGCCUCCCUGCCUACCGUACCCCUUAACUCCCUACUACCUUUCGGCAUUGCUCCGCCAACACUGCGUCUCCAACAGAAAAAAAUCCAUACAGCACCGGCACGGAGAGAACCACGGUCACUUGACUCAUUUGCAAAUGAUACCGUACUUCAACAUUUAAGGCCAACACCACCAUUCAGAGUUAGGUUCUCACCAUCGCUCCUGUGUAGCUUCCGGCCCCUCCAGCUCCUGGAGGUAGGUGUUAAGCGGCCCUAGCCGCUUACUGCGACCUAACGCAGCGCGCUCUGAAGGCACAACCACAAGCCACCAGUACCCCGCGGCUACGGCUGUCAGCGCGAGUACAAAGCCUUGAGCAGCCAGGACGCUUGUGUCUGGCAGUUGGGGAUCAAAUGUCGUCCCCGGGGCCAAAGAGGUUGCUGAGGCAAGGGCGUCUGAUGCGCUAUGGGUUUGCAGGUUCACCAUGUCGCCGCAAGUGGCGUCCUGGCAUGGCGAAUAGCCGUUAACCGCGAAGGGACCGCGAAGGGAAGCAGGACGCAUGAUCCGCAUAUAUAAACUUCGUUUCAGUGGGAAUUCUGUUUGGCGAUGGUGUGUCCACGUCGGAGAGUUCGGCAAAUGCGAUAUACAUCGCUGAUGCGAUCGUCUCCAGCUUUGCCUGCACAUCAUGACUCUAACAACGAUGAUACAGACAGCGAAGCUAUGUGGACGGUUUGAUUUACAAUAACUUGUUCUGUUAGAUUUUCCAGUUUGUAAAAAUUGGCAAAGCAGAUUCACUUGCGGAAACAAUUGGAUUGAAUUAACUAGACACACUAGGUUCAAUACAUUACACUUAUAUGUUAACAGCUGGUUGAUAUGAUCAUGUGGGUGAAAGAGGGCAACAACUACUGUUUAUACCGUACUACUGAUAUCAGAUUCUGGAAUGUUACCAUCUGCACGUCACCUCGGUAGAUUGGUAUACUGCUCUGCAUUCUUCUGACACCGAAUGAUUUCUGGGAUUGGAGAAGAGGCACGCAGACGAGAUAUCACGUGGCUUACACGGAAGUGUUUUCUUCUCUUGGUAGGGUUUAUAUCCCAAAAUGUCCUAGUGAAUAUGAUCCCAGGCUCAAAAUGGAUCAUCCAUUUAUUCAUGAAGCACACGCGUUCGAUGUUCAAUUGGUCAGUGAAAGCUUUUCACAACCAAGAACACAGUUUACCGGAAGCAAAUCUAGAACAUCAGGAAAAAUUGCACCAGAAAAUCACCCCCGAUAACUGAUCAGUCCAGAACGCAACGCCUCUAACCACACAUAGCACGAGCCCUGCUACGCGCAGGUGCUUAGACGGAGCGCUUGUUGGCCGGCUGCCAGUCGCGGGCGCUCUUGGGGCGCUGCACCAGGAAGCCCAUGAUCUGCACCUGCUUCACGUUGUCGAAGGCCACCAGGCGCACGUAGGCGUCCGGGAAGGCCUUGGUGCAGGCAACAAUCUCGCGCAGCACCUGCAUCGGGUCGCGGCAGCCGAACAUGGGCAGCUUCCACAUCGUCCAGUAGCGGUUGUCGUAGUACAGCUGCGGGGGAGGGAGAGACGGAGUUCAGGGAGACAAAUUUGAGUUAAUGACCGUAUGUCCGAUUCAAAAACUACCAAAACCCGAAGUUUACUUCAUAUCCUUCG
rnacentral:lncRNA from 1 species